rnacentral:tRNA from 2 species
GCGGAGGUGGUGGAAUUGGUAGACACGCCAUCUUGAGGUGGUGGUGGCGCAAGCCUUGGGGGUUCGAGUCCCCUCCUCCGCACCA